rnacentral:pre_miRNA from 1 species
CCGCACAUCAAGCACUACUACCGAGUUUAGCUUGGCAGUGUAUUUAUUAUAUGAAAAAAAUAUACACUGCCAAGCUAAACUCGGGAGUAGUGCUUGAUUUGCGGUAUUAU